UUUUUUUUCUUUUUCGGUUGAAGAUAGAGAGGCAAACGUAUGGCAGAAAAUGAGGGAGAAUGAAAAAGAAAAGAGAGAAACGAGGUAGGAGUAUAUGCACAAUUUGUCCAUCCUCCAUGAUCUUUCUCCAUCUUUCUCUCCUGCAUAUCUGAGUCUUUUAUGGAUUACCAAACUCGUAUAAAUAUGUGCGUUGGUAUAAAUAUGUGAUUAUGAAGUUAAAAAUGAAAGGAUAAUAAUGAAGGUGGGUGAAGCUAAUUGGGGAUGGGAUAUCUGUAAGCUAGCUAUUGUUGGUGAGCUAAUUAAUACGUGGGAAGUUGAAUGGGGAAGGGCUAAGUGCUGGUGCUUAUUUGGUUUUUGUGAUUUAUUCUUUAAUUCUGGGUUUUGCUUUUUACAGUUUGUUUUGCAGAUGGAUAUUUUAUUGUAGCUAAUUUUUACUUUCGGGAUUUGGGGUUUCAAAAGGUUGGGGGCGGCGCCUCUCACUUUUCCGUUGGGGAAGUGGUUUUUAAUUUAGAGGUUUUCCGAUGGAUUAUAGAGCUUCAAUUCCGGUUGCGAUAAAUCUUGAGAUUAUUAAAUUAGUCUUUUGGGUAAGGGGGAUUAUUGAUUUCAAUUGGGAGUCUUGGGCUUCCUAGCUUGGUCCUCGGGUUUUCUCUUGCGGGAUCUGAAUGCCUGCAGUUUUUCCUAGCUGUUCGGUUGUUGAUUAAAGUCGGAAAGAUUGAAAGAGUUGGUAUUUUGGGGGAAGCGUUUCAAAUUAGAGUUAAUUGCUCUUCAAUUUGGGAGUGCUUUGGAGCUCUGAAUCUGAUUGCUUGUCUCCUGGUGAUUACUUGUAAGUUACCUAGGGAUGGCGAGACUGAUAUGCGAAUGUGGGUUGCGAGAGCGGAGCUGGUACAAGGCUGGACAAGGACUGAGAAGGGUGCUGGCUGUAUCCAAGAGGUGAGUGCUAGUUCCUGGCUUGCUUGUCCUUUUAAUAGGAUUAAUAAACUUAACAAACUUAAUAUUGCAAGUGAAGCUUUGAAGCUAAAGCUCUGUAAAUGAAGCUUUCGACUUUCGAAGCUAGAGCUUUUGUAAAUGAAGCCUUUGAAGCUAGAGUUCUGUAAAUGAAGCUUUUGAAGCUAGAGUUCUGUAAAUUAAGCUUUUGAAGCUAGAGCUUUUGUAAAUGAAGCUUUUGAAGCUGAUUGACAUGAGUGAUGCUCAUGAAUGUUUAUGUUGAUUGACACGAGUGAUGCUCAUGAAUGUUGAUUGAGUGAUGUUCAUGAAUGUUUAUGUAUGAUUGGAUAAGUAAUGC
rnacentral:lncRNA from 1 species